GCCCUCCUGGUGCACGAGUGGUCUGAAGUACAAAUAAACUGAUGGAAAAUCCCGUGCAGAAUGGCACAAAUUUAACACCAGCCUCUACUAGGCAAACAUCGGGCUCGAUGAGAUCCACUUCUGCAAACAAUGAACCCGGCGCUCCGGGACCCCUGGGGCACACAACCGGGUUACGUAAGGCGGCCCGUGCUCGCGGGAUGCUCAGGCCCAGCCAGCGCCGCGCUCCGGGAGGCGGAGAGGAGAGCCCGGAGCAGAAAGGGAGGCUGGCUGCCUCCCACCCCCUCCUGCGCCCCAGCGCACCGACACGGAGCCGCAACCAGCUUCAGCUACGGCGGCCAGCCCCGGGAGGCCGCCCCCGCCCGACACCCGCAAGGGGCCCUUGCCAUGCCGGGGUGCAGCCGGGCACAGCCCGCACUCCGCUCUCCCCGGGGCAGCAGGGGAGGCAGACCUGGGCCGCCGCCGCCGUCUGCCCCCAACACCCCCCGCGCUGUGGGGCGCCCUGGCCCGGCCCGACCCACCUCCGCUCUUCCCGCGCGAUCAGCACCCAGCGCAGCAGCGGACAAGCUGUGGGGUCUGGGCGGGACAGCGCGGCUCUGGCGUCUGCCCUUCCAGCUCCUCCCCGGGGCGGGGACGCUGCUCCAGGCGGCCUGGCUCGGGGGAGGAGAACGCCCCCUAGCCCAGAUCGCCGCAGGCGCCGGACCCCAGCAGCUGCUCGGCGAGGGGCCACGAACUCCAGAGUCUGUCCUGCCUGCAGCAGAAAACUCCCUCCAGCCCCGGCGAGGGGCACUGCCAGCUCCUUGGGCGGCUCCCAACAGCGACUAGAAGGGGCAGGCUAUUGGGAAGCGCAGUCGGGGUAGCGGCUGAAGAGGGGGAAAGGAUCCCGGUAAGGGCGAAGAAUGGGCAGGAGUACGCCGAGACUGAGAGCAGAAGCCGGGGAAAACGCCAAGGUUGCAGCUUCCAUUGGUGACAGUCCUGCUAAGGAAAAGGACUUUAGAGUGGCUCUAGACUCCUUAAGUUCAUGAAGCUUGCUGUCCAUCUGGUCUGAGAAUAGAGAAGGACCCUUGAAUGGCAAGACCUGGAUAGUGCUCAGUAUGUCAUGGGGGAGACCAGAAGACUGCAACCAGGAUGAUCUACACAUGGCCACUGCAGAAGCCAGGGUUCAAGUUGCUGAGUCUGCUACAUCCAGCCCUGCCUGCAGUGGUGUUCUCCUGACUAAUCUACCCUCAUUGAUUAGGGAACCAAACUCCUGUCUAGUAUUCUCCGAAAGCAGCUCUCUGAACUUUUCCAUUGAGCCCCAUAAAUUAAAAUCAUACUGCCCCAGCAAAGCCUGUUGGUUAGUGAAUCACCAAAUAAAUCUUUCUGCCAAAUAAGUCCAGCCUUUUAGCAUCCUUUGCUUUAGAGUGGGAGCCUUGUGCCCCUUGA